rnacentral:rRNA from 1 species
ACGCUCGACACCUACGGGGGGCAGCAGUGGGGAAUAUUGCACAAUGGGGGAAACCCUGAUGCAGCGACGCCGCGUGAGCGAAGAAGUAUUUCGGUAUGUAAAGCUCUAUCAGCAGGAAAGAAGAAAGACGGUACCUGACUAAGAAGCCCCGGCUAACUACGUGCCAGCAGCAGCGGUAAUCUGAGCGGGCUGGCAAGGC